GUCCAAGGCCUUACCACCCUGAACGCGGCGGAUCUCCUCUGAUCUCCGAAGCCUAGCAGGGUCAGGCCUGGUUAGUACUUGGAUGGGAGACCGCCUGGCAACACCGGGUGCUGUAGGCC
rnacentral:rRNA from 1 species